GAUGAACGCUGGCGGCGUGCCUAAUACAUGCAAGUCGAGCGAACAGACGAGGAGCUUGCUCCUCUGACGUUAGCGGCGGACGGGUGAGUAACACGUGGAUAACCUACCUAUAAGACUGGGAUAACUUCGGGACACCGGAGCUAAUACCGGAUAAUAUAUUGAACCGCAUGGUUCAAUAGUGAAAGACGGUUUUGCUGUCACUUAUAGAUGGAUCCGCGCCGCAUUAGCUAGUUGGUAAGGUAACGGCUUACCAAGGCGACGAUGCGUAGCCGACCUGUGAGGGUGAUCGGCCACACUGGAACUGAGACACGGUCCAGACUCCUACGGGAGGCAGCAGUAGGGAAUCUUCCGCAAUGGGCGAAAGCCUGACGGAGCAACGCCGCGUGAGUUAUGAAGGUCUUCGGAUCGUAAAACUCUGUUAUGAGGGAAGAACAAAUGUGUAAGUAACUAUGCACGUCUUGACGGUACCUAAUCAGAAAGCCACGGCUAACUACGUG
rnacentral:rRNA from 1 species